rnacentral:rRNA from 1 species
AUUGAACGCUGGCGGCAGGCCUAACACAUGCAAGUCGAGCGGUGCGGCGGACGGGUGAGUAAUGCCUAGGAAUCUGCCUGGUAAUGGGGGAUAACGUCCGGCAACGGGCGCUAAUACCGCAUACUCUCAGACGAGCCUAGGUCGGAUUAGCUAGUUGGUGUGGGAAAGGCCUACCAAGGCGACGAUCCGGAACUGGUCUGAGAGGAUGAUCAGUCACACUGGAACUGAGACACGGGCCAGACUCCUACGGUAGGAAGCAGUGGGGAAUAUUGGACAAUGGGCGCAAGCAUGAUCCAGCCAUGCCGCGUGUGUGAAGAAGGUCUUCGGAUUGUAAAGCACUUUAAGUUGGGAGGCGUGACCAACAGAAUAAGUACCGGCUAACUUCGUGCCAGCAGCCGCGGUAAUAC